AUGAUGCAUAAUAUUACAUCUUAUCAUUUCAGAAGAUUUGUCUUCGCGAAAAAACAAAUAAAAAACGCUAUACAUAUUUUGGUUAAGUAAAUAUAAAAAAUAUAAAAAAAAUCAUUAUACAAGUCUAGCCACGCAAUCUGCGCAGGUCAUCCCAAUUAUUUCCAGCCGAUGUUACGUUCGACUGAACCUCUAAAAAGAAACACCGAGUCAAAAUUAACAACAGGAAACAGUGGCGGGGGGCGCCAAGCAGAGCAGCAACAGAGUGACAAACAAGGGUGGGAGUAUUGUGACGGCUUUGGCCUGGCAACCUA
rnacentral:lncRNA from 1 species